rnacentral:rRNA from 1 species
AUUGAACGCUGGCGGCAGGCUUAACACAUGCAAGUCGAGCGAGCGGCGGACGGGUGAGUAAUGUCUGGGAAACUGCCUGAUGGAGGGGGAUAACUACUGGAAACGGUAGCUAAUACCGCAUACCAUCAGAUGUGCCCAGAUGGGAUCAGCUAGGAGGUGGGGGAAUGUCUAACCUAGGAGACGAACCCUAGCUGGUCUGAGAGGAGUACCAGCCACACGGGAACUGAGACACGGUCAAGACUCUUACGGUAGGCAGCAGUGGGGAAUAUUGCACAAUGGGCGCAAGCCUGAUGCAGCCAUGCCGCGUGUGGGAAGAAGGCCUUCGGUUUGUAAAGCACUUUCAGCGAGGAGGCGUUACUCGCAGAAGAAGCACCGGCUAACUCCGUGCCAGCAGCCGCGGUAAUUC